CCCGCACAAGCGUGGAGUAUGUUGUUUAAUUCGAAGAUACACGAAGAACCUUACCAGGUCUUGACAUACCAUUGACAGGCGCAGAGAUGUGCUCUCCUUCGGGCAAUGGAUACAGGUGGUGCAUGGUUGUCGUCAGCUCGUGCCGUGAGGUGUUGGGUUAAGUCCCGCAACGAGCGCAACCCUCAUUGUUAGUUACUACCAUUCAGUUGAGGACUCUAAUGAGACUGCCAACGACAAGUUGGAGGAAGGUGGGAUGACGUCAAAUCAUCAUGCCCUUUAUGACCUGGGCUACAAACGUACUACAAUGGCCAAUACAAAGAGAUGCGAAGCGGUGACGUGAAGCGAACCUCAGAAAGUUGGUCUCAGUUCAGAUUGAAGUCUGCAACUCGACUUCAUGAAGUCGGAAUCGCUAGUAAUCGCAGGUCAGCAUACUGCGGUGAAUACGUUCCCGGGCCUU
rnacentral:rRNA from 1 species